AAGAAACAAAAGAGCAAGCAAAUGGUAUAAUAUACAUGUAUUCUUGUUGUUUGAAAUUUUGUUUCUUACGUUUAGCAAAGGGUUUAUUCAGAGUCGAUAGUGCAUGUUGGAAAACAUUAAAUUUGUGGACGUUGGUAAAUCCACGGGAUGAGCCGUUGGACAUUAGACACAAACAAAACUAUAUGUUUAGAAAACAUGCUUCACAAUUAUGUUCAAGUGUUG
rnacentral:lncRNA from 1 species